CAAUAGCGUAUAUUAAAGUUGUUGCAGUUAAAAAGCUCGUAGUUGAAUUUCGGGUCCCCGCGCUCGGCGCUUCAUUGUGCCGUCGUGGUGUCCCUCCUCGCCGUAAGGCGUCCUUUACUGUGAAAAAAUUAGAGUGUUCAAAGCAGGCAAUCGCUUGAAUACAUUAGCAUGGAAUAAUAAGAUAGGACCUUGUCUAUUUUGUUGGUUGCGGACAACGAUAAUGAUUAAUAGGGAUAGUUGGGGGUGUCCGUAUUGAGCUGUCAGAGGUGAAAUUCUUGGAUUUACGCAAGACAAACAGCUGCGAAAGCGUCUGCCAAGGAUGUUUUCAUUAA
rnacentral:rRNA from 1 species